rnacentral:rRNA from 1 species
UACGUAGGGUGCGAGCGUUGUCCGGAAUUAUUGGGCGUACAGAGCUUGUAGGCGGUCUGUCGCGUCUGCUGUGAAAAUCCGGGGCUCAACCCCGGACUUGCAGUGGGUACGGGCAGACUAGAGUGUGGUAGGGGAGACUGGAAUUCCUGGUGUAGCGGUGAAAUGCGCAGAUAUCAGGAGGAACACCGAUGGCGAAGGCAGGUCUCUGGGCCACUACUGACGCUGAGAAGCGAAAGCAUGGGGAGCGAACAGG